UACGAAGGGGGCUAGCGUUGCUCGGAAUCACUGGGCGUAAAGGGUGCGUAGGCGGUUCUUUAAGUCAGGGGUGAAAUCCUGGAGCUCAACUCCAGAACUGCCUUUGAUACUGAGGAUCUUGAGUUCGGGAGAGGUGAGUGGAACUGCGAGUGUAGAGGUGAAAUUCGUAGAUAUUCGCAAGAACACCAGUGGCGAAGGCGGCUCACUGGCCCGAUACUGACGCUGAGGCACGGAAGCGUGGGGAGCAAACAGG
rnacentral:rRNA from 1 species